rnacentral:rRNA from 1 species
AUUGAACGCUGGCGGCAGGCCUAACACAUGCCAGUCGAGCGGAUGAAGGGAGCUUGCUCCUGGAUUCAGCGGCGGACGGGUGAGUAAUGCCUAGGAAUCUGCCUGGUAGUGGGGGAUAACGUCCGGAAACGGGCGCUAAUACCGCAUACGUCCUGAGGGAGAAAGUGGGGGAUCUUCGGACCUCACGCUAUCAGAUGAGCCUAGGUCGGAUUAGCUAGUUGGUGGGGUAAAGGCCUACCAAGGCGACGAUCCGUAACUGGUCUGAGAGGAUGAUCAGUCACACUGGAACUGAGACACGGUCCAGACUCCUACGGGAGGCAGCAGUGGGGAAUAUUGGACAAUGGGCGAAAGCCUGAUCCAGCCAUGCCGCGUGUGUGAAGAAGGUCUUCGGAUUGUAAAGCACUUUAAGUUGGGAGGAAGGGCAGUAAGUUAAUACCUUGCUGUUUUGACAUUACCAACAGAAUAAGCACCGACUAACUUCGUG